CCUACGGGUGGCAGCAGUGGGGAAUAUUGGACAAUGGGCGAAAGCCUGAUCCAGCCAUGCCGCGUGUGUGAAGAAGGCCUUCGGGUUGUAAAGCACUUUCAGUGGGGAAGAAAGCCUUGGGGCUAAUACCCUCGAGGAAGGACAUCACCCACAGAAGAAGCACCGGCUAACUCCGUGCCAGCAGCCGCGGUAAUACGGAGGGUGCGAGCGUUAAUCGGAAUUACUGGGCGUAAAGCGCGCGUAGGCGGUCUGAUAAGCCGGUUGUGAAAGCCCCGGGCUCAACCUGGGAACGGCAUCCGGAACUGUCAGGCUAGAGUGCAGGAGAGGAAGGUAGAAUUCCCGGUGUAGCGGUGAAAUGCGUAGAGAUCGGGAGGAAUACCAGUGGCGAAGGCGGCCUUCUGAACUGACACUGACGCUGAGGUGCGAAAGCGUGGGUAGCAAACAGGAUUAGAUACCCGGGUAGUC
rnacentral:rRNA from 1 species